rnacentral:snoRNA from 1 species
AUCGACGUACUUCAUAGGAUCAUUUCUAUAGUAAUCGUCACUCUUUGACUCUUCACAAGAGCCACUGAAUCCAACUUGGUUGAUGAGCACCAGAGCCUUCGUACCUCAGAGUGAGAAUUCCACAAAACGUUAUUAUUACAUUUUUUAGCUUGAUCCGCAGUCCUUAGCGACUCGGUCAUCUAAUCUGUGAAAUAGUUUCUUUUAUUAUGUCAUUUAUUUGAUAUAUUGAAGAUUCUAGUUUUGCUAUUUUUUGCCAUAUAGAUUUUUUGCAGAUUUACUUUUUAAGUGGUCAUACAUUAAAUCGUUUCCUUGGCGCGAUGAUCUUGGCCCUGUUCGUGUACUUCUAUUUUUGUAGGAGAUGAUGGAUAUUUAAUGGGCGGGUGUGAAUGGCAGUCUGACAAGU